ACGCACGCUGGCGGCAUGCCUCACCCCUGCCCGUCGAACGCGACCUUCGGGUCUAGUGGCGCACGGGUGCGUAACGCGUGGGAACCUGCCCUUAGGUUCGGAAUAACUCCCCGAAAGGGGUGCUAAUACCGGAUAAUGUCUUCGGACCAAAGAUUUAUCGCCUUUGGAUGGGCCCGCGUUGGAUUAGCUAGUUGGUAGGGUAAAAGCCUACCAAGGCGACGAUCCAUAGCUGGUCUGAGAGGAUGAUCAGCCACACUGGGACUGAGACACGGCCCAGACUCCUACGGGAGGCAGCAGUGGGGAAUAUUGGACAAUGGGCGAAAGCCUGAUCCAGCAAUGCCGCGUGAGUGAUGAAGGCCUUAGGGUUGUAAAGCUCUUUUACCCGGGAUGAUAAUGACAGUACCGGGAGAAUAAGCGCCGGCUAACUCCGUG
rnacentral:rRNA from 1 species